UGACUAAGCCCUCCAAAAUGGGCAGGGCAUCUGGCUAUAUAAGCAGGCAUUUGCCACAGGAUUCUCAGGUUACUUCGACUGAGUCGUGCAGCUACACAGCACAGCUAGCAACGCAGUACUCAUUUCCGUAUCUCAGUGAACCGAGGUUAUAUCUAGUAACAGAAAACAUUACCUUUCGAUACUACACGCGUACUGCAUUUGCUAGACGCAUAUGGGAACAGUACAAUCAAGCGAUAGUGACCAAAUGUUUGCAGACUGAAGCGGUUUGAAGGCAGUGCCCUUUAGGGCCUUCAGCACAGUGGGCAGAUCCCAUGAAGGGACAGUAAGGGGUUGAGGCAGGUUCAGCCUCCUGGCACCCCUUAAGAAACGAAUAACCGAGCUAUUUCUGCCCACUGACUGGCUCAAGAGGCUGCUAUAGCUGCCACAUAGACUUUGAGCGUGGAUGGGGAGCAUCUUUAAUUCCUCAACUCUUGCAGAAAUGACAGCACCUCUGUCAAAUCGGAAGUAUGAUGAAAAAAAAAGACACCUUCAAGGCGUACAGGCAUUUCGUAGAUGGGGUUCUAGCCUCUGAAAUUGUGAUUAAGACUUGCUCUGGGAGGCUCAAAGGCUCCCGUCGAUUGGCCAGAGGUGCAAGGCACAUCGGUCGGGCCGAGGAUGCCAUAUUGUCCCAUUCGUUUGAGAGACGAGAUCCCAUUUCAGUGGAAUGGGCCAAGGGGCCGCCAUCAACAGAUGAGUUAGCCAAGGCUAGUUCAUCCAAAAGGGGGCCACCAGGAGAACCAUGUGAUUUUGUUCCCUUACUUGCCUGAUUACCUGUGGGAUCAGGGGAAAAGCAUAGAGGAGGAGGUUGGGCCAAUCGUGGGCCAACACAUCCUUGAUCUUUACUAAAUAAAUUGGGCAAUGAGACUUGUCUUCUGAGGCAAAGAGGUCUACCUCGGCCUCGCGGAAGAUCUCCCAGCUCCUCCUAACCAUCUGUGGAUGGAAUGUCCACUCCCCUGAGGGGACAUUGCUCCUUGAUAACAUGUAAGCUUCUUGGUUCAGUUUGCCUGGUAUGAUACCACAGACAUGUUGUCUGAUCGGAUCAGCACAUGGUGUCCUUUUAGGUCUGGCAGGAAGAACUGACAGGCCUGACAUUCUGCUAGUAUUUCCAGGCAGUUGAUGUGAAAGCCUUCUUCCGCUUUCGACCAGUGGUUGGUAUGUCCUCGCAUAGUGCCCCCCAACUUGAGUUGGAGGCAUCUGUCGUGACAACUGUUCUUCUGCAAAUCAUCCCCAUGUCCAUGCUGGUUCCAUUCAACAUUCUUUCAGGGGGCUAGGGCUGUUAUAUAAGCCUGACUCAACCUGAUCUGCAGGCGUCCAUGACACCACGCUUAGAUGGAACUCGUGGUUUCAACCAGCGCUGAUGGGGAUGCAUACGAAUCUGACCCAAAUGUAGCACUGGUGAAUAUCAUCAUUUUAUUAUCCUCAUAACCCAUCUUGACAACUCUGGGGAUGGCCUGCCAGACCUCGGCCUGCGUGGUGAGGGGUUGAAUUAACUAGAGUGACUAGCCAAAGGGA